GGGGACGACAGGAAUCGAUGGGUUAGUUCAUUUACAAGAUGCAAGCCAGCUUUGGUCAAAGCUGUCAAAAAGACUAAAUAACAACUGUCAAUAAAGAAGACAAGUUACUUGGCUCCACCGUUUUCGGUGGCUCCAACUCUUUCGCUGGCGCUUACGCUUUUGCCUAAGCCAAAGCCUAAAGACGUUCUAAAGGUUAUCGGAUUCCAGGGUACUUUUAGGGCGAGUAAACACUGGAUUGAAUGCUUUGAGUUUGAUUAAUGCUCAAAGACUAAUCCUUAUUAAUCGACCAUAAGGUGUUCUUGUUUGCCUGAAGCUUUAUGGAAAAUCGGCAAACUAAGCUUGUAGUAUCUUUAAAUCAAUCAGCUCAGACGUGGGUUCAAUUCCCACCGUCUCCACAA
rnacentral:tmRNA from 1 species